rnacentral:lncRNA from 1 species
GAACAAAAGGAAGCAUGAUUCACAGGUACAUCAUAAAAAGGAAGGCAGAGAGGGUUGGAAGGAUGUUUGUCAUUUUGCUGCAGCACAUGGUAGAGCUUGAAAACUUAAUGACCAAGUAUUUUAUGUCAUUGUGUGAUUGAGGCACAAAUAAUAUGAACAAAUGAAGAAUUCACUAAGGUAGGCUCCAGCUCUCCUUGUCCCAUGGCAUGAUAGUUUACUGAGUUACUGCAGAGGCUGCUCCAGGAGGAGAUGUCUCUCUUGGUUGAACUUACCACAAACAUCAUCAGCUGUGAUGUCUUUUCAGAAGAGGACUUUUAAGGAAAGAUUGAGGCAAGAUUUCUCUCCUGGGUGCUGGAAAGGUCUUUCCCCUGGACCUGACGACAAGAGGCAAUGUCACUGCGAAUGUUUCUGGCUUUGCUUGCUGAGCCAGUGGGAGUUUGUACCCAGCAAGGCUGAGGAACUGCUCCUCCACGUAGAGCUGUGUGUAGCUGUGGGCAGGCGUGUUGGAGGAAGCCACCCGAGGGACCCACUUUCUUCCAGGGGUCCCCACGCUGCAGAGCCCUGUAUUUGGGGAUGGUUCAGCAGGCUGUGCUGUACCUACCCUGCCUCAGGUAAGAUCCUGCUAGGAUGCAUCUUCCCCGUGCUGUGGGAAACGAGCUUGUCUCGCCAGUUUUAA